rnacentral:rRNA from 1 species
CCUACGGGGGGCUGCAGUGGGGAAUAUUGCACAAUGGGGGAAACCCUGAUGCAGCAACGCCGCGUGAGCGAAGAAGGCCUUCGGGUCGUAAAGCUCUGUCCUAAGGGAAGAAGGAUGACGGUACCUUAGGAGGAAGCCCCGGCUAACUACGUGCCAGCAGCCGCGGUAAUACGUAGGGGGCGAGCGUUAUCCGGAAUCACUGGGCGUAAAGGGUGCGUAGGCGGCCGAUAAAGUCUGGGGUGAAAGGCUACGGCUCAACCGUAGUAAGCCUUGGAAACUUAUUGGCUUGAGUGCAGGAGAGGAGAGCGGAAUUCCUGGUGUAGCGGUGAAAUGCGUAGAUAUCAGGAGGAACACCAGUGGCGAAGGCGGCUCUCUGGACUGUAACUGACGCUGAGGCACGAAAGCGUGGGGAGCAAACAGGAUUAGAUACCCGAGUAGUC